rnacentral:rRNA from 1 species
UACGAAGGGGGCUAGCGUUGCUCGGAAUCACUGGGCGUAAAGCGCACGUAGGCGGAUUGCUAAGUCAGGGGUGAAAUCCUGGAGCUCAACUCCAGAACUGCCUUUGAUACUGGCGAUCUCGAGUCCGGGAGAGGUGGAGUGGAACUGCGAGUGUAGAGGUGAAAUUCGUAGAUAUUCGCAAGAACACCAGUGGCGAAGGCGGCUCACUGGCCCGGUACUGACGCUGAGGUGCGAAA